UUUUUGAUCAAUUGGCACCAUGCGA
rnacentral:piRNA from 2 species